rnacentral:rRNA from 1 species
AGAGCGAACGCUGGCGGCAGGCCUAACACAUGCAAGUCGAGCGGCCGUAGCAAUACGGCAGCGGCAGACGGGAGAGUAACACGUGGGAACGCGCCCUUCGGUUCGGAAUAACUCAGGGAAACUUGAGCUAAUACCGAAUACGCCCUUACGGGGAAAGAUUUAUUGCCGAAGGAACGGCCCGCGUCCGAUUAGCUAGUUGGUGAGGUAAUGGCUCACCAAGGCGACGAUCGGUAGCUGGUCUGAGAGGAUGACCAGCCUCACUGGGACUGAGACACGGCCCAGACUCCUACGGGAGGCAGCAGUGGGGAAUAUUGGACAAUGGGCGCAAGCCUGAUCCAGCCAUGCCGCGUGGAUGAUGAAGGCCUUAGGGUUGUAAACCCCUUUCAGCAGGGACGAAGCGAAAGUGACGGUACCUGCAGAAGAAGCGCCGGCUAACUACGCGCCAGCAGCCGC